rnacentral:rRNA from 1 species
UACGGGAGGCAGCAGUGGGGAAUAUUGCACAAUGGGCGCAAGCCUGAUGCAGCCAUGCCGCGUGUAUGAAGAAGGCCUUCGGGUUGUAAAGUACUUUUCAGUCGUGAGGAAGGUGUUAAGGUUAAUAACCUUAGCAAUUGACGUUAGCGACAGAAGAAGCACCGGCUAACUCCGUGCCAGCAGCCGCGGUAAUACGGAGGGUGCGAGCGUUAAUCGGAAUUACUGGGCGUAAAGGGCACGCAGGCGGUUAAUUAAGUUGGAUGUGAAAUCCCCGGGCUUAACCUGGGAAUGGCAUUCAAGACUGGUUAGCUAGAGUCUUGUAGAGGGGGUAGAAUUCCAUGUGUAGCGGUGAAAUGCGUAGAGAUGUGGAGGAAUACCGGUGGCGAAGGCGGCCCCUGGACAAAGGACUGACGCUCAUGUGCGAAAGCGUGGGGAGCAAA